CGAACGCUGGCGGCAUGGAUUAGGCAUGCAAGUCGAACGAAGUAGCAAUACUUAGUGGCGCAAGGGUGAGGAACGCGUGAGUGACCUACCCGCAAGUUUGGAACAGCCCCUGGAAACGGGAAUUAAUACCGGAUGUGAUCAAUGAGCUGCAUGGUUUAUUGAUUAAAGCAGUAAUGCGCUUGCGGAUGGGCUCGCGUCCCAUUAGCUAGUUGGUGAGGUAACGGCCCACCAAGGCCACGAUGGGUAGCUGGUCUGAGAGGACGACCAGCCACACUGGGACUGAGAACUGCCCAGACUCCUACGGGAGGCUGCAGUCGAGAAUUUUGGGCAAUGGACGAAAGUCUGACCCAGCAAUGCCGCGUGCGGGAUGAAGGUCUUCGGAUUGUAAACCGCUGUUUGGAGGGACGAAAAUUGACGGUACUUCCAGAGAAAGCCACGGCUAACUACGUGCCAGCCGCGGC
rnacentral:rRNA from 1 species